AUUGAACGCUAGCGGGAUGCCUUACACAUGCAAGUCGAACGGAGUGGCGAACGGGUGAGUAAUGUAUCGGAACGUGCCCAGUAGCGGGGGAUAACUACGCGAAAGCGUAACUAAUACCGCAUACUGUUGGAGCGGCCGAUAUCGGAUUAGUUAGUUGGUGGGGUAAUGGCCAACCAAGGCGACGAGCCGUAGCGGGUUUGAGAGGAGGACCAGCAACACUGGGACUGAGACACGGCCCAGACUCCUACGGGAGGCAGCAGUGGGGAAUUUUGGACAAUGGGGGAAACCCUGAGGCAGCCAGCCCGCGUGUGGGAUGAAGGCCUUCGGUUUGUAAAGCACUUUUGGCAGGAAGGCGGUACCUGCAGAAUAAGCACCGGCUAACUACGUGCCAGCAGCCGCGGUAAUAC
rnacentral:rRNA from 1 species